UACGAAGGGUGCAAGCGUUACUCGGAAUUACUGGGCGUAAAGCGUGCGUAGGUGGUCUGUUAAGUCUGAUGUGAAAGCCCUGGGCUCAACCUGGGAAUGGCAUUGGAUACUGGCAGGCUAGAGUGCGGUAGAGGAUGGCGGAAUUCCCGGUGUAGCAGUGAAAUGCGUAGAGAUCGGGAGGAACAUCUGUGGCGAAGGCGGCCAUCUGGACCAAUUCUGACACUGAGGAGCGAAAGCCAGGGGAGCAAACGGG
rnacentral:rRNA from 1 species